rnacentral:rRNA from 1 species
CACGUAGGGGGGCAAGCGUUUGUCCGGAUUUAUUGGGCGUAAAGAGCUCGUAGGCGGUCUGUCGCGUCGGCUGUGAAAUCCCGAGGCUCAACCUCGGGUCUGCAGUCGAUACGAGCAAACUAGAGUGUUGCAGGGGGAGACUGGAAUUCCUGGUGUAGCGGUGAAAUGCGCAGAUAUCAGGAGGAACACCGGUGGCGAAGGCGGGUCUCUGGGCAACAACUGACGCUGAGGAGCGAAAGCGUGGGGAGCGAACAGG